rnacentral:rRNA from 1 species
UGCAGUCGAACGGUGAAAGAGGAGCUUGCUCCUCUGGAUCAGUGGCGAACGGGUGAGUAACACGUGAGUAACCUGCCCCAGACUCUGGGAUAAGCACUGGAAACGGUGUCUAAUACCGGAUACGAGCUUCAGCCGCAUGGCUAGGAGCUGGAAAGAAUUUCGGUCUGGGAUGGACUCGCGGCCUAUCAGCUAGUUGGUGAGGUAAUGGCUCACCAAGGCGACGACGGGUAGCCGGCCUGAGAGGGUGACCGGCCACACUGGGACUGAGACACGGCCCAGACUCCUACGGGAGGCAGCAGUGGGGAAUAUUGCACAAUGGGCGCAAGCCUGAUGCAGCAACGCCGCGUGAGGGACGACGGCCUUCGGGUUGUAAACCUCUUUUAGUAGGGAAGAAGCGAAAGUGACGGUACCUGCAGAAAAAGCACCGGCUAACUACGUGCCAGCAGCCGCGGUAAUACGUAGGGUGCAAGCGUUAUCCGGAAUUAUUGGGCGUAAAGAGCUCGUAGGCGGUUUGUCGCGUCUGCUGUGAAAACUGGAGGCUCAACCUCCAGCCUGCAGUGGGUACGGGCAGACUAGAGUGCGGUAGGGGAGAUUGGAAUUCCUGGUGUAGCGGUGGAAUGCGCAGAUAUCAGGAGGAACACCGAUGGCGAAGGCAGAUCUCUGGGCCGUAACUGACGCUGAGGAGCGAAAGCAUGGGGAGCGAACAGGAUUAGAUACCCUGGUAGUCCAUGCCGUAAACGUUGGGAACUAGAUGUAGGGACCAUUCCACGGUUUCUGUGUCGCAGCUAACGCAUUAAGUUCCCCGCCUGGGGAGUACGGCCGCAAGGCUAAAACUCAAAGGAAUUGACGGGGGCCCGCACAAGCGGCGGAGCAUGCGGAUUAAUUCGAUGCAACGCGAAGAACCUUACCAAGGCUUGACAUAUACCGGAAAAGUUCAGAAAUGUUCUCCCCGCAAGGUCGGUAUACAGGUGGUGCAUGGUUGUCGUCAGCUCGUGUCGUGAGAUGUUGGGGUUAAGUCCCGCA